rnacentral:rRNA from 1 species
AACCUUUACUAUAGCUUGACACUGAACAUUGAGCCUUGAUGUGUAGGAUAGGUGGGAGGCUUUGAAGCGUGGACGCCAGUCUGCGUGGAGCCAACCUUGAAAUACCACCCUUUAAUGUUUGAUGUUCUAACGUUGGCCCCUGACCGGGGUUGCGGACAGUGUCUGGUGGGUAGUUUGACUGGGGCGGUCUCCUCCCAAAGCGUAACGGAGGAGCACGAAGGUUAGCUAAUCCUGGUCGGACAUCAGGAGGUUAGUGCAAUGGCAUAAGCUAGCUUGACUGCGAGCGUGACGGCGCGAGCAGGUGCGAAAGCAGGUCAUAGUGAUCCGGUGGUUCUGAAUGGAAGGGCCAUCGCUCAACGGAUAAAAGGUACUCCGGGGAUAACAGGCUGAUACCGCCCAAGAGUUCAUAUCGACGGCGGUGUUUGGCACCUCGAUGUCGGCUCAUCACAUCCUGGGGCUGAAGUAGGUCCCAAGGGUAUGGCUGUUCGCCAUUUAAAGUGGUACGCGAGCUGGGUUUAGAACGUCGUGAGACAGUUCGGUCCCUAUCUGCCGUGGGCGCUGGAGAAUUGAGGGGGGCUGCUCCUAGUACGAGAGGACCGGAGUGGACGCAUCACUGGUGUUCGGGUUGUCAUGCCAAUGGCACUGCCCGGUAGCUAAAUGCGGAAGAGAUAAGUGCUGAAAGCAUCUAAGCACGAAACUUGCCCCGAGAUGAGUUCUCCCUGAGACUUUAAGUCUCCUGAAGGAACGUUAAAGACGAUGACGUUGAUAGGCCGGGUGUGUAAGCGCAGCGAUGCGUUGAGCUAACCGGUACUAAUGAACCGUGAGGCUUAACCUU